rnacentral:lncRNA from 1 species
GACUGAGAUCUGCUGAGGGGGGCAGGGCUAAACCCAGCCAGUGCACUCUAGGACGGUAUGGUCUGCUCUCACAGACAGGCAGAUAUUGGCAGCGUCUGCUACAUCUGCAAUAGAAGAUCAGAAAGAGAGUCUCCAAAGCAGACAGCUCUGGGUUCCGAGAUCAGCACUACUGACUAGAGGCAAAAUGAUUUGGGAAAUAAAGAAGCUAUUGCCCCACUACUGGGAGUGCCUCUAGCUGAAGAGAGUCACUUUGCCAAAAAUCACACCCCUUCUCUGGGUGGUCCACCUCCAAUGACUGUGUGACACAUGGAUGUAAAGGCUCAGCCUGCUCACUCCAAUUGGGAACAGCUCUGCAGGAUCCUUCCAUCUUCAGGAAUCUCCACAAGGCCCACAUGCUUCAACAGGAGGCUGUCAGCUUGGGUGAGACUUGGUUAUCCUCUCCCCCAGGGCUGACCUCAGACAUAGGCCCUCCACAGGAACUCACAAGGCUGAGAGGAAUAGAGCUUGUCUUGAGAAUCCAGGCAGCCAUCUCCACCAGUGGUUCCACCACCUCCAGUGAGCUUCAUCAGAGUGAACCAGACCAUCUCCUUCUUUUACCUCUAAAGCACAGAGUCCUUACCAUCUUUUCUCUUCAAAUUAGCCAGCCUAAUCAAUUUUGGCUUCUACACUGCAGGGGUGGAAGUUGGGGAUGGGUGCAGAGAAAAGGAAAUCUCUUCUUAUUUUUUUCUUCCAGGAAGAGUCUAUAGCUGUCCAAAAAAGAAAAGGGAAAAAAUGAACAAGACACUAAAUAAAUCUCUCAACAAUUCACUGUUAUAUCCUCAAGUUAAACAAAAUCAUGAGUUGUUCUUCACUGAUUUUUAAAAAAAUGUUUAAUAGGACUGAACAGAGACAGAACUCUUUUUAUGAAGGCUUCCAGAGCAUCGUAAGUGAGCCAUGGACUGAGCUGCAGGUAUCCUGUCCGGGAACUGCAGGAAGGACUGUGUUGCUGACCAGGGGGUAGGUGGAGUAGUGCUGAGAUCUGGAGGAACUUUGCCCUUUUCCACAUAGGAAAAGGCUGCAUUAGUAACUCUCCUGCUCUUUCCUACUUCCCUUGCUAGUGACUGGACUGUGUUUUCAGUGUUAUUAAACUUCAUUGAGCUCUGUGUUUAAGAUCUAAAUAUGGGAGAAAACAUAAAAAAAAAAUCUUAGUGUUCUUAGAGGGUGGAGAGAAACAGCUGCAAAAAAAAAUAUGUUUUAGCUUUCUCUCUAUGGGAGGAGAUAAAGUGAACCAAGGAAGAUGACCAUUUGUGCUUGUCAAUUCUCACUCAAGAAAUGUUGAACUUCUAUGUGCAAAGGACUACACUACAAACCUGUAUAAGUAAAGUGCUUGGGAACAGUGUCUAGCUCAGUAAAUGCUAGCUGUUAUCAUUACUAUUAUUAUUGACAGCAGUUUUCUUUUACUCCUAUAAC